UGGGGAAUUUUGGACAAUGGGCGAAAGCCUGAUCCAGCAAUGCCGCGUGUGUGAAGAAGGCCUUCGGGUUGUAAAGCACUUUUGUCCGGAAAGAAAUCCUUGGCUCUAAUACAGUCGGGGGAUGACGGUACCGGAAGAAUAAGCACCGGCUAACUACGUGCCAGCAGCCGCGGUAAUACGUAGGGUGCAAGCGUUAAUCGGAAUUACUGGGCGUAAAGCGUGCGCAGGCGGUUUGCUAAGACCGAUGUGAAAUCCCCGGGCUCAACCUGGGAACUGCAUUGGUGACUGGCAGGCUAGAGUAUGGCAGAGGGGGGUAGAAUUCCACGUGUAGCAGUGAAAUGCGUAGAGAUGUGGAGGAAUACCGAUGGCGAAGGCAGCCCCCUGGGCCAAUACUGACGCUCAUGCACGAAAGCGUGGGGAGCAAACAGGAUUAGAUAACCCCUGGUAGUCCACGCCCUAAAACGAUGUCAACUAGUUGUUGGGGAUUCAUUUCCUUAGUAACGUAGCUAACGCGUGAAGUUGACCGCCUGGGGAGUACGGUCG
rnacentral:rRNA from 1 species